rnacentral:lncRNA from 10 species
CGCGCGCGCAGGGUGAACAAAGCAGCGCCGCAGAGCGCCGGGAAACCGAAAGCGCCCGGCCCGGGUUCAGGACGAUCGCGGGGUCCGGCGGCGACGGCGGCGGGGGUUCAGGGCCCCCGGGACCAGGGGAGGUGCCGAGCGCCCGGGUUCCUGCCACAGCCAGCCUUCCUCUCCUCCCCGGUCCCCCCGGUCUCUCCUGUUUCGGGUCCUGCCUGCACACCGUAUUUCUGCUGCGCUCGGCGGCAGAGCUCGAAAGCCCCAGGCCGGCCUGCCCAGCGCUUUUCCACCGCUCUGGCGGCAGCGUUCGGUCGGCGCGAGCCGUGUAGCCCCGAUCUGCGGCCCCAGCGCCCAGGCGGGCAGUGGACACCGACGGGACCCCAGGCCGUACCCCCGGCACCGCCGCCCCCAGGACCCGCACUGAGAACGACGUACGCGGCUGCCUUGCAGGCGACACCUCGGGGGACGCCCCUUGGGCGCACGGAGCGAGGGCCGGCGGGCUCGGGGUGGGUUGCCGCGGUGUCUGCACCGCUCCCCGCGGGCCCCUGGUCUGGGAAGUUUGUUCUCUUCUUCAGGGAGCUUAUGCGACAAGCCGGAUUUCACAGGCCCUACAAAGCGCGUUGAGUCCCCUCGAAGCUCUCGGCGCCACCAGAACCCGCUGGAGGGCUGCCUGGAGGUGGUGAUGGAUCCAAGGGGACACAGCGGAGUCAGCGGCCGGGAUGGAGGCGACGGAGAGCACGUCUGGUCGCCUGAGUCCCAUCCCACAGUAGGCCUACCCGGCAGCCUGGGGAGUCAGAAGAGGGUCUCCAGCCACAGCCAUUACCUCGCUCCUUCCUCUCCCCGGCCUCGGCGUCCAGGCCCAUUGGCUUCACCCUCCGCGACCUCUGGCGGCCCUGACUGGGGCUCUGGGAGCGGGUAGUUCAGGUGGAGGGUCUCUGGAGCCACACACCUGGCCUCCCGCAGCAGAAGCAAAUAACACAUUCAGGUGCACAGCCGAUGCACCCCAACUUUCCAGUGCAAACAAGGCCGGGAGGAGUGGGAGGAGACCUGUCAGCAGGCAGGACAGGAAAAGCCCCUGGUGAAAAACUUCUCUGGUGGGUGAAGAUCAGUGAUGGCCCGAAAUCAUCUCGGUGUUCUGAAGCCUAGGAAAGCUGUUGGCCUGGCACCGGGGCCACUUCCUACAAGAACUGGCAGCCUCAGGCGGAAUGUUUGAGGGCAGCUGACCUGAACAGACUGAUCCGUCUGCCUGGAAGAUUCUUCUAACUCAGCUGGAGAAUGGCUGCUCAAUAAUGCAGGUAUUUUUCUGUAUUUACUUGUCACUUGCUACCCACGUGGAUGUUAAAGUGACCAGGAGCCACACCUGAGGCCUCUCGUGAAUGAACGGAGCUACUUCUGUGUCAGGUUUUGGGGUUCCACAGGCAUGAGCAGGCCAUGGGUCAGGCUGGUUCUGGCAUGGCUGUGGUCGGCCCACUUCCACAGACCACCACCGCAUGCUGUCCAUCUAUCCACCGGAGAUGGCCGCAGUGGGGACCAGGACAAGAGGACAAAUGAGGCCCUGUGUGUCUGAACACUGACCACUUGUAAAUCAGCUGCUAGAUACAAUGUGCUUAUACACAACAUGCUUAUCCUCCUGCCUUGGAAAAUACGUUUUCAAAUGAGAGAAAUCACAAAAUAUGUGCAAAGCAUGAUUUGCAUGGAAGUCAUCAACAUAUCAAAAGAGGACCAGAUUUAAUGAUUCUUAUGUACGUCUGGCAUUCUAUUCUGAGGGGGUAGCAAUGUUAGGAUUUGCAAAAAAAUACAGACAGAAUAAUUCAUAAAGUACAUAUUUAUCCUAUGAAAUAUUUUGCCUUUAAAAAAAUAGAAUCACUCCAUAUCCUGUAGCAAUCAAGAUUUUCACAUAAUUUGUGUUUUGACAAUAGUGGUUCAAAAAUUAAAAAGUGAUCCUUCUCAAAGCAUACAUUUAAAUAUAUCUUCAUCAAAAAUUGAUAGCAAAUCAAAUGUAAGAAAUAAAAAUAACUAAAUUAUUUGUGAUUUUCCAAAAAAAUUUUUCUUCUAGCAUAUUCAAAGCUUUCUAUUAAAAUUUAA